rnacentral:lncRNA from 1 species
UAGACUUAAUAUUUAGUGAGAAUAUUUAGGUUUAGGUCUCUUUUAAAUCAGUAGAUCUGACAUCCGACUGAUUAUAUUCAGGUCAGCACAUCAACAUGUCUAACCAGCCUAGUUGGCAUGGGUGAACUCGAGUCAACAAGUAACCUAGCACGAAACUGAAUCUUUCAAGAUGGCCAGGUAAGUUAAGAUGUGUGGGGGUCCCCUCAUUACUUUUCUUAGACAUCAAUCAAAAUUGAUCAAGUCAGAUAAUGGAAUCAAUUAAAUAACCACCAUCUAAAUACUUGCCUUAGACAC